UACGUAGGGGGCGAGCGUUGUCCGGAUUUAUUGGGCGUAAAGAGCGUGUAGGCGGCCAUACAGGUCCGUUGUGAAAACUGGAGGCUUAACCUCCAGACGUCGAUGGAAACCGUAUGGCUAGAGUCCGGAAGAGGAGAGUGGAAUUCCUGGUGUAGCGGUGAAAUGCGCAGAUAUCAGGAAGAACACCCGUGGCGAAGGCGGCUCUCUGGGACGGUACUGACGCUGAGACGCGAAAGCGUGGGGAGCGAACAGG
rnacentral:rRNA from 1 species